UAGUGAACCAGUACCGUGAGGGAAAGGUGAAAAGCACCCCGGAAGGGGAGUGAAACAGUUCCUGAAACCGUGUGCCUACAAUUAGUCAAAGCCCGUUAACGGGUAAUGGCGUGCCUUUUGUAGAAUGAACCGGCGAGUUACGUUUGCCUGCGAGGUUAAGAUGAAAAGUCGGAGCCGGAGCGAAAGCGAGUCUGAACAGGGCGCUUCAGUAGGUAGAUGUAGACCCGAAACCAAGUGACCUACCCAUGACCAGGUUGAAGGUGUGGUGAAACACACUGGAGGACCGAACCCAUGUAUGUUGAAAAAUGCUGGGAUGAGUUGUGGGUAGCGGUGAAAUUCCAAACGAACUUGGAGAUAGCUGGUUCUCUCCGAAAUAGCUUUAGGGUUAGCCUCGGAGGAUGGAUCAUGGAGGUAGAGCACUGUUUGAACUAGGGGCCCGUCAAGGGUUACUGAAUUCAGAUAAACUCCGAAUACCAUUGAUCUUACUCCGGGAGUCAGACAGUGAGCGAUAAGGUCCAUUGUCGAAAGGGGAACAGCCCAGAUCACCAGUUAAGGUCCCUAAAUUUAUGCUAAGUGGAAAAGGAUGUGGCGUUGCACAGACAACUAGGAUGUUGGCUCAGAAGCAGCCACCAUUUAAAGAGUGCGUAAUAGCUCACUAGUCGAGUGGCACUGCGCCGAAAAUAUACCGGGGCUAAGCAUAAUACCGAAACUGUGGGUGCACCCGUCAGGGUGCGCGGUAGGAGAGCGUUCUAAGGGCGUUGAAGGUCGAUCGUGAGGACGGCUGGAGCGCUUAGAAGUGAGAAUGCCGGCAUGAGUAGCGAAAGAUCAGUGAGAAUCUGAUCCACCGUAUGACUAAGGUUUCCUGGGGAAGGCUCGUCCUCCCAGGGUUAGUCGGGAUCUAAGGCGAGGCCGCAAGGCGUAGUCGAUGACAAGCAGGUUGAGAUUCCUGCACUAGUUUAUUUUGUUUAAGCGAUGGAGGGACGCAGGAGGCUAAGGAAAGCGCACGGCUGGAAAAGUGCGUCCAAGCAGUAAGUCCGGUAGCGAGUGAAAUGCUUGCCGCCUUAAGGACAAGCUGUGAUGGGGAGCGAAAUUAAAGUAGCGAAGUUCCUGAUGUCACACUGCCAAGAAAAGCUUCUAGUGAGAAAUAAACUACCCGUACCGCAAACCGACACAGGUAGUCGAGGAGAGUAUCCUCAGGUGAGCGAGCGAACUCUCGUUAAGGAACUCGGCAAAAUGACCCCGUAACUUCGGAAGAAGGGGUGCUGACCGCAAGGUCAGCCGCAGUGAAUAGGCCCAAACAACUGUUUAUCAAAAACACAGGUCUCUGCUAAAUCGUAAGAUGAUGUAUAGGGGCUGACGCCUGCCCGGUGCUGGAAGGUUAAGAGGAUGAGUUAGCGCAAGCGAAGCCCAGAAUUGAAGCCCCAGUAAACGGCGGCCGUAACUAUAACGGUCCUAAGGUAGCGAAAUUCCUUGUCGGGU
rnacentral:rRNA from 1 species